CCCCAAUCAAAGUGGUAUUGUUAUUACACUAUUAGAUUAAAAAUUGUAUACCAGCAGCAGCAGCAGCUGGACAAACGUCCAGGUAAUAACAAUAAAAACAAAGGCCUUUUCUUUCACCUCAUUACCAAGAUCUAAGAUCCAUUCAACAUUCUGUGGUUGUAAAAUUCUUACAUAUCCGGCAAAACUCAUAAAACAAAACAAGUGAAAUUCUUC
rnacentral:misc_RNA from 1 species